rnacentral:rRNA from 1 species
UACGGGGGGGGCAAGCGUUGUUCGGAAUUACUGGGCGUAAAGGGUUCGUAGGUGGCCUACUAAGUCAGACGUGAAAUCCCUCAGCUUAACUGGGGAACUGCGUCUGAUACUGGGGGGCUUGAGGACAGGAGAGGAACGCGGAAUUCCAGGUGUAGCGGUGAAAUGCGUAGAUAUCGAGAGGAACACCUGCGGCGAAGGCGGGUUGCUGGGCUGACACUGACGCUGAGGCGCGAAAGCUAGGGGAGCGAACGGG